UCCCCAGUAACGGCGAGUGAAGAGGGAAGAGCCCAGCGUCGAACCCGCGAGGUCUACUCGUCGGGCAUGUGGCGUGUGGAUCCUAUCGCGCACAGGGUUGACGGCGGCCGCACGUCCUAAUGAUUCAGGCCUUUCCCACAGAGGGUGUCAGGCCCGUACCUGGUCGUCUGUCUCCGGUGCAGAUAGGUAUCUUAGAGUCGGGUUGUUUGGGAAUGCAGCCCAAAGCGGGAGGUAAACUUCUCCUAAGGCUAAAUACCAUGGCGAGACCGAUAGCGAACAAGUACCGUGAGGGAAAGUUGAAAAGCACUCUGAAGAGAGAGUUCAAUAGUACGUGAAACUGUUGAGAGGUAAACGGUGAAGGCGUCUCUUCUUCCCGUUCAGAUUCAGCCGCGAAUCCGGGGUCUCUGUGGGGCGUGUCGACCGCAAGGCGACUGUUCUGCGAGUUCUUUGGGGGAACGGUGCACUUCUGGGCGGGAUUAGUCACGGCCGAUUGGUCGGGAGCGUGGUGCCCUUCGGGUUGACGGUUCUCCACUUCGGUGGCGAGCUAAUACCUGGGGUGGUAUGGCCUCUUGGUCGAUUGCAGAAGCGGAGCAGCGGCUACAGGCGGCUCGUGCGCUCGCGUCCUUUGCUGGAGGUGGGGUAUCUCUUACGAGAAAUGCUCUGCCGCAAGGCAUUCGAUUGUGGGUACGCUCGUUCGCUGUUCCCCGCCCGUGGCGUGGGUGUCCUUUACCGACCCGUCUUGAAACACGGACCAAGGAGUCUAACAUGUGUGCGAGUCUUGAGGGUUUUGACACCCGCAGGCGCAAUGAAGGUGAAGCCAGCUUCGUGUUGGUGAGGCGGGAGCGGGGCCUCUGGUUCCGUGCACCGCCGUCCCGUCCAGUGCAUCCUCGUAUGUUGGGCGGAGGCUGAGCAUACACGUUGGGACCCGAAAGAUGGUGAACUAUGCCUGAACAGGAUGAAGCCAGGGGAAACUCUGGUGGAGGUCCGUAGCGAUUCUGACGUGCAAAUCGAUCGUCUGAUUUGGGUAUAGGGGCGA
rnacentral:rRNA from 1 species